AGAGUUUGAUCCUGGCUCAGGACGAACGCUGGCGGCGUGCCUAACACAUGCAAGUCGAACGGAGUUGAAAGGAGCUUGCUUUUUUCAACUCAGUGGCGGACGGGUGAGUAACGCGUGAGUAACCUGCCUUUCAGAGGGGGAUAACGUUCUGAAAAGAACGCUAAUACCGCAUAAGAUUGUAGUUUCGCAUGGAGCAGCAAUCAAAGGAGCAAUCCGCUGAAAGAUGGACUCGCGUCCGAUUAGAUAGUUGGCGGGGUAACGGCCCACCAAGUCGACGAUCGGUAGCCGGACUGAGAGGUUGAUCGGCCACAUUGGGACUGAGACACGGCCCAGACUCCUACGGGAGGCAGCAGUGAGGGAUAUUGGGCAAUGGGGGAAACCCUGACCCAGCAACGCCGCGUGAGGGAUGACGGUUUUCGGAUUGUAAACCUCUGUCCUCUGUGAAGAUAGUGACGGUAGCAGAGGAGGAAGCUCCGGCUAACUACGUGCCAGCAGCCGCGGUAAUACGUAGGGAGCAAGCGUUGUCCGGAUUUACUGGGUGUAAAGGGUGCGUAGGCGGAUUGGCAAGUCAGAAGUGAAAUCCAUGGGCUUAACCCAUGAACUGCUUUUGAAACUGUUAGUCUUGAGUGAAGUAGAGGUAGGCGGAAUUCCCGGUGUAGCGGUGAAAUGCGUAGAGAUCGGGAGGAACACCAGUGGCGAAGGCGGCCUACUGGGCUUUAACUGACGCUGAGGCACGAAAGUGUGGGUAGCAAACAGGAUUAGAUACCCUGGUAGUCCACACUGUAAACGAUGAUUACUAGGUGUGGGGGGUCUAACCCCCUCCGUGCCGGAGUUAACACAAUAAGUAAUCCACCUGGGGAGUACGACCG
rnacentral:rRNA from 1 species